rnacentral:lncRNA from 1 species
GACCACUGUGUAAAACGAAAGAGGAAGAACAGAUAUUCUGAAAUAUUUACAUGUUUUUUUUUUUUUUCUCUGCAGAUUCCUUUAAGUGAAGCAACCAUAGCUUGGAUUUAAUUGUGUAACCUUGAUACUUAGUGCCAAGCCCUUCAGAUCGCUACUAGAUUUGGCAAGGUUAAAAGGAAUUUACAUUGUGGCUUUAUACUCGGAGAGCCAACCUGUUCCUUAACCUGGUAAGAGUACUAGUGGACAUUGUGACAGAUUUGACAUCAA